rnacentral:rRNA from 1 species
AGAAGCGCAUACGGUGGAUGCCUUGGCAGUCAGAGGCGAUGAAAGACGUGGUAGCCUGCGAAAAGCUUCGGGGAGUCGGCAAACAGACUUUGAUCCGGAGAUCUCUGAAUGGGGGAACCCACCUAGGAUAACCUAGGUAUCUUGUACUGAAUCCAUAGGUGCAAGAGGCGAACCAGGGGAACUGAAACAUCUAAGUACCCUGAGGAAAGAAAUCAACCGAGAUUCCCUUAGUAGUGGCGAGCGAACGGGGAUUAGCCCUUAAGCUUCAUUGAUUUUAGCGGAACGCUCUGGAAAGUGCGGCCAUAGUGGGUGAUAGCCCGUACGCGAAAGGAUCUUUGAAGUGAAAUCGAGUAGGACGGAGCACGAGAAACUUUGUCUGAACAUGGGGGGACCAUCCUCCAAGGCUAAAUACUACUGACUGACCGAUAGUGAACCAGUACCGUGAGGGAAAGGCGAAAAGAACCCCGGAGAGGGGAGUGAAAUAGAACCUGAAACCGUAUGCGUACAAGCAGUGGGAGCCUACUUGUUAGGUGACUGCGUACCUUUUGUAUAAUGGGUCAGCGACUUAUAUUCAGUGGCAAGCUUAACCGUAUAGGGUAGGCGUAGCGAAAGCGAGUCUUAAUAGGGCGUUUAGUCGCUGGGUAUAGACCCGAAACCGGGCGAUCUAUCCAUGAGCAGGUUGAAGGUUAGGUAACACUGACUGGAGGACCGAACCCACUCCCGUUGAAAAGGUAGGGGAUGACUUGUGGAUCGGAGUGAAAGGCUAAUCAAGCUCGGAGAUAGCUGGUUCUCCUCGAAAGCUAUUUAGGUAGCGCCUCAUGUAUCACUCUGGGGGGUAGAGCACUGUUUCGGCUAGGGGGUCAUCCCGACUUACCAAACCGAUGCAAACUCCGAAUACCCAGAAGUGCCGAGCAUGGGAGACACACGGCGGGUGCUAACGUCCGUCGUGAAAAGGGAAACAACCCAGACCGCCAGCUAAGGUCCCAAAGUUGUGGUUAAGUGGUAAACGAUGUGGGAAGGCUUAGACAGCUAGGAGGUUGGCUUAGAAGCAGCCAUCCUUUAAAGAAAGCGUAAUAGCUCACUAGUCGAGUCGGCCUGCGCGGAAGAUGUAACGGGGCUCAAACCACACACCGAAGCUGCGGGUGUCACGUAAGUGACGCGGUAGAGGAGCGUUCUGUAAGCCUGUGAAGGUGAGUUGAGAAGCUUGCUGGAGGUAUCAGAAGUGCGAAUGCUGACAUGAGUAACGACAAUGGGUGUGAAAAACACCCACGCCGAAAGACCAAGGGUUCCUGCGCAACGUUAAUCGACGCAGGGUUAGUCGGUUCCUAAGGCGAGGCUGAAAAGCGUAGUCGAUGGGAAACAGGUUAAUAUUCCUGUACUUCUGGUUACUGCGAUGGAGGGACGGAGAAGGCUAGGCCAGCUUGGCGUUGGUUGUCCAAGUUUAAGGUGGUAGGCUGAAAUCUUAGGUAAAUCCGGGUUUCAAGGCCGAGAGCUGAUGACGAGUCGUCUUUUAGAUGACGAAGUGGUUGAUGCCAUGCUUCCAAGAAAAGCUUCUAAGCUUCAGGUAACCAGGAACCGUACCCCAAACCGACACAGGUGGUCGGGUAGAGAAUACCAAGGCGCUUGAGAGAACUCGGGUGAAGGAACUAGGCAAAAUGGCACCGUAACUUCGGGAGAAGGUGCGCCGGCUAGGGUGAAGGAUUUACUCCGUAAGCUCUGGCUGGUCGAAGAUACCAGGCCGCUGCGACUGUUUAUUAAAAACACAGCACUCUGCAAACACGAAAGUGGACGUAUAGGGUGUGACGCCUGCCCGGUGCCGGAAGGUUAAUUGAUGGGGUUAGCGCAAGCGAAGCUCUUGAUCGAAGCCCCGGUAAACGGCGGCCGUAACUAUAACGGUCCUAAGGUAGCGAAAUUCCUUGUCGGGUAAGUUCCGACCUGCACGAAUGGCGUAACGAUGGCGGCGCUGUCUCCACCCGAGACUCAGUGAAAUUGAAAUCGCUGUGAAGAUGCAGUGUAUCCGCGGCUAGACGGAAAGACCCCGUGAACCUUUACUGUAGCUUUGCACUGGACUUUGAGCCUGCUUGUGUAGGAUAGGUGGGAGGCUUUGAAGCGUGGACGCCAGUUCGCGUGGAGCCAUCCUUGAAAUACCACCCUGGCAUGCUUGAGGUUCUAACUCUGGUCCGUGAUCCGGAUCGAGGACAGUGUAUGGUGGGCAGUUUGACUGGGGCGGUCUCCUCCUAAAGAGUAACGGAGGAGUACGAAGGUGCGCUCAGACCGGUCGGAAAUCGGUCGCAGAGUAUAAAGGCAAAAGCGCGCUUGACUGCGAGACAGACACGUCGAGCAGGUACGAAAGUAGGUCUUAGUGAUCCGGUGGUUCUGUAUGGAAGGGCCAUCGCUCAACGGAUAAAAGGUACUCCGGGGAUAACAGGCUGAUACCGCCCAAGAGUUCAUAUCGACGGCGGUGUUUGGCACCUCGAUGUCGGCUCAUCACAUCCUGGGGCUGAAGCCGGUCCCAAGGGUAUGGCUGUUCGCCAUUUAAAGUGGUACGCGAGCUGGGUUUAGAACGUCGUGAGACAGUUCGGUCCCUAUCUGCCGUGGACGUUUGAGAUUUGAGAGGGGCUGCUCCUAGUACGAGAGGACCGGAGUGGACGAACCUCUGGUGUUCCGGUUGUCACGCCAGUGGCAUUGCCGGGUAGCUAUGUUCGGAAAAGAUAACCGCUGAAAGCAUCUAAGCGGGAAACUUGCCUCAAGAUGAGAUCUCACUGGGAACUUGAUUCCCCUGAAGGGCCGUCGAAGACUACGACGUUGAUAGGCUGGGUGUGUAAGCGUUGUGAGGCGUUGAGCUAACCAGUACUAAUUGCCCGUGAGGCUUGACC